GCCAGGGAAUUACGAGCUAAGCUUAAAACCCAAGGGACUUGACGGUACCCCACAUUCCCCCUAGAGGAGCCUGUCCUAAAAUUGAUAACCCACGUUUAACCUCACCAUUUCUAGCCAAGUGAUUACCACUAAUCAGCCUGUAUACCUCCGUCGCCAGCUUACCACGUGAGCGUAAAUUAGUGAGCCCAAUGUCAAUUCACCAGAACGUCAGGUCAAGGUGCAGCAAAUGAAAUGGGAAGAGAUAGGCUACACUCUCUACACUAGAGAAAACAAAAAACUAUAUGAAAAUUAGUUGGAAGGCGGAUUUAGUAGUAAAAAGGAAUCAGCAUGUCCAUUUUAACCAGGCACUGGGGUAUGUACACACCGCCCGUCACCCUCUUCAAGACACCAACACAGUUCUUAACACAUCAAGACACCCAAGGAGAGGAAAGUCGUAACAUGGUAAGUAUACCGGAAGGUGUACUUGGCAA
rnacentral:rRNA from 1 species